UACAGAGGAUCCAAGCGUUGUUCGGAUUCAUUGGGCGUAAAGGGUGUGUAGGCGGCUCUGUAAGUCGGGUGUGAAAUCCCGGGGCUUAACUCCGAAACUGCAUUCGAUACUGCCGUGCUUGAGGACUGGAGAGGAGACUGGAAUUUACGGUGUAGCGGUGAAAUGCGUAGAUAUCGUAAGGAAGACCAGUGGCGAAGGCGGGUCUCUGGACAGUUCCUGACGCUGAGGCACGAAGGCCAGGGGAGCAAACGGG
rnacentral:rRNA from 1 species